rnacentral:lncRNA from 1 species
UCUUAGCAGCUUUUAAGUAAGAACAAAAUUGGCACUGAAAUCCAACUUAUUUCUCUUCUACCCAGGCACUACCUAGAGUCCAUUGAAAAUUGGACUUCACGGUCAACUUGCUCCUUGCUAACAACUGAACAAACAAUUGAGGCAUUUGGCAGGCCAUGAGUGAGAGCCAGAGGUCAUUUUGAGAGGCUACGUUCAGCCCUUCAAUAAAUUUUAGACACAUUGUCCCAUCUGAAGGCAUCCGGGACCAGGGAUCCCUCAGUCAACUGUCAGCCAGCCUCUAGGAGGAGAGCCAACAGGUUGACAUGUACUGGCCAGAGCCCUGUGGCAACCCCGACCAGACCAACAGAACCAGGCAGCAGCACUCACCCUGACUCAAAGUAUGGCAAGCUAAAUAGUCACGGUCACUGCCGUAUCACCAGCAGAUGGGGAAGAAACAGCACAGGCUGGUACCUGGGUCAUGUAAUACUGAGUGCAAAUAAAAAGGUUCCCAGUAUUGUUCUCAAUGGUCGACCUUCUGUAACGUCAUAA